GGACAGCAUUGGAUGGGCUAAAAUUGGCAAGGGACGGGCCAAUCAGCACCGUUUUGGCCAACGUUUUGGCCAAUCAGCACCUCCUCAUAGCUCAUAGAGAUGCAUGUUUGAGUGGUGUGGGGAAUGGGUUGUAGUGUAUUUGUGUAGAGGGGAUAACGACUGUAGUGUGUGUGUUUAGGGACUGAGUACAGUUCAUGCUCCCUGGGCUCCCGGCAGUACCGAGGACUGGAUGGUGAGGGAGAUCCUCGAUUUCCAUGCUGGCUGCGAAACCCUCUCUCUG